AGCAGUAGCCACGGUAAUACGGAGGGAGCUAGCGUUGUUCGGAAUUACUGGGCGUAAAGCGCGCGUAGGCGGUUACUCAAGUCAGAGGUGAAAGCCCGGGGCUCAACCCCGGAACUGCCUUUGAAACUAGGUGACUAGAAUCUUGGAGAGGUCAGUGGAAUUCCGAGUGUAGAGGUGAAAUUCGUAGAUAUUCGGAAGAACACCAGUGGCGAAGGCGACUGACUGGACAAGUAUUGACGCUGAGGUGCGAAAGCGUGGGGAGCAAACAGGAUUAGAUACCCGUGUAGUCCCUGUCUCUUAUAC
rnacentral:rRNA from 1 species